GACGAACGCUGGCGGCGUGCCUAACACAUGCAAGUCGAGCGGAGAUGUACUGAAGAUUUAUCGGAUGUACAUCUUAGCGGCGGACGGGUGAGUAACGCGUGGGCAACCUGCCUUUCACUGGGGGAUAACACAGGGAAACCUGUGCUAAUACCGCAUGACAUCACGUAGGGCAUCCUAUGUGAUCAAAGGAGAGAUCCGGUGGAAGAUGGGCCCGCGUCCAAUUAGCUGGUUGGUGAGGUAAAGGCUCACCAAGGCGACGAUUGGUAGCCGAACUGAGAGGUUGAUCGGCCACAUUGGGACUGAGACACGGCCCAGACUCCUACGGGAGGCAGCAGUGGGGAAUAUUGCGCAAUGGGGGGAACCCUGACGCAGCAACGCCGCGUGAAGGAAGAAGGUCUUCGGAUUGUAAACUUCUUUGAUGAGGGACGAAUAAAGUGACGGUACCUCAAAAACAAGCCACGGCUAACUACGUG
rnacentral:rRNA from 1 species